rnacentral:lncRNA from 1 species
GCCGUGGGGGGCUGUAGGGGUGGCUCUUGGGGGCUGUGGGGGGUUACAGGAGGUAUGGAGCAGUAGGUAGGUGUGAGUGGAAAAUAGGGGAAUGUGGGGCAUUAAUUGGUCUUGCUAAUUCUUGACGGAGAAGGUGUGUUUAGCUGCCAAAGUUGGUGGCUCGAUAGCAUGUUCUGAAGCAUGUUCUGAAUGGUUUGGGGCCCUUCCCCUAUUACUCACGUCCUAAGGCAGUGAUGGGCUUCCCUUGCUCCGUAGGAACGGUUCCUGUGCAAGGGCAUGGCCGUCUGCCUGUAAGAGAUACUGAAGGGGAUGGCUGUGUGACUGCCGUGAUGGAGUUGGCUUUUGAAUGUCAAUUGCACCCCGUUAACGUGCAGCUCUUUCUGACCCAGGCAGGAGCCGGGCAGCGGUACUGCAGCUCGUCUGGCAGCUUUGCAGCUCAGUUGGGAAGUAGAAGAUGUGGCUGUGAAAGAAGAAGUCAGUUGCUGGGACGUCCCCCUGUUCUUCCCCUAGCUGUCCCCUUGCCUCAGCCUGGAUUCCCCUUGCAUUCCUGUAGGAUUCCCUUCCAUCCUCCUGGUUGUCCCUUGCUUUCCCCAAGGUUGCUCUUUCCUUUCCCAUGACAGCCCACCCAUCAUUCUCUCAAAGCCCCAAUAUCCACCCCAGUGUUUCCCCAGCAAGACCCCUAGAGACGCCCUGUAGCCCCCCACAGAGCACCAUACACCCUCUAGGACCUCCUCAGACCCGGUACGCCUCCCCUGUAGCUGGCCCAUACGCACACGGAGCCCCACAGUCCCCAGCAUCACCCCAUGUAACCCGCUGGCCUUCUUCAAGACCCCCGUGUUUCCUCUAUCUCCUCCUUCAGACCUCCUUUCCCACCUCCAAGACCCCAACCCCGGGAUCUCACCGAUUCCCACAGUCCCUGACAGGACCCCUGUCACCAUCCCAGGAACCCCAUAGCGCACGUGAGGCCCCUCCUCAGCCCCAUCCCCAUCAAGCUCUUGUACAGCCAUAGGGUGCUGGGGCAGGGGUGGCUGCUGCAGGAGAGGAAUGUGGGGCUGGAGCAGGUGCAGGGCACAGCUGUGGGUGAAAGGGAUGUGAGGGGCACUGUGGGUCCAGGAACGUAGGGGUUGUGGGGGCACGUGGGGAGCGGUUUGGGGUGAGAAUGGAGGAUGUGCGGUGGUGUUGGAGUGCACUGGUUGAUUUCUUCCUGGGAGGGGAUUGGGGUUCCCUUUGGCCCAAAGGUGGAGCCCUGAUCCAUAACCCCACGUGAGCCCCGAACGCCAUGUAACUCGGCGUGAGCCCAAGGCUCCACAUGACCCAUAACCCUGUGAGCACCGUAAGCCCAUAUGAGGCUGAGGGCAGUGAUGGGUCUGUUACUGGCUAGGUCAGGAAGUACUCUAG